GAUGAACGCUGGCGGCGUGCCUAAUACAUGCAAGUCGAGCGAACAGACGAGGAGCUUGCUCCUCUGACGUUAGCGGCGGACGGGUGAGUAACACGUGGAUAACCUACCUAUAAGACUGGGAUAACUUCGGGAAACCGGAGCUAAUACCGGAUAAUAUAUUGAACCGCAUGGUUCAAUAGUGAAAGACGGUUUUGCUGUCACUUUUAGAUGGAUCCGCGCCGCAUUAGCUAGUUGGUAAGGUAACGGCUUACCAAGGCGACGAUGCGUAGCCGACCUGAGAGGAUGAUCGGCCACACUGGAACUGAGACACGGUCCAGACUCCUACGGGAGGCAGCAGUAGGGAAUCUUCCGCAAUGGGCGAAAGCCUGACGGAGCAACGCCGCGUGAGUGAUGAAGGUCUUCGGAUCGUAAAACUCUGUUAUUAGGGAAGAACAAAUGUGUAAGUAACUAUGCACGUCUUGACGGUACCUAAUCAGAAAGCCACGGCUAACUACGUG
rnacentral:rRNA from 1 species